GCCUUCCUGACAACUCUGUUGAGAUAGGAAGGGCAAAUAUUAGCAGCCCUGCUUUACAAAUGAAGAAAUCAAGGCAGAGAAAGAGUAAAUGACUUACCUACAGGACCCAGCUAAGAAAGCUCUCCUCAGUGGUAUACUUUCGUGGAAAAAUUUAUGAAACCACUCUUCUUCAUCCUCUCACCUAAGGAUGGAUGUUUAUUUACCCGGGACAAAUAGAAUCUUUCUAAGACUUUCAAACUGAAUACAGCAGAACAACAGAGAAGUUUGCAGGGUAUAUUGGACCUGAAACAGACCUCAAAUAUUUUCCUAAGCAAAGAACAGUACUAUUUUCAGAUGAUGGAAAUCGUUUGUAAACACCACAUUUUUGCUCCUGUGAAAAUCAGAGGCAAGAUGCCCAAAUCCACCAUCCAAGCGAAACUGGCACCAAACCAGCAUCGCUUUGGGCGCAGAGAUUCUCACAUACCUUGUCUACACCAACAGAUUGGGCAGUGUCACAUUUAGCUUUGUGAGACCAGCAGGAUGCUGAAAAUACUUCCUCUGCUGCAAUUUGGCAAUGUUUAAUGAUAGAGGAGCACAGAGGUAAAGUCACAGAUACACAUCAAAGGAUAUUCCCCCAAAUACCAAGACAAUGAAUAUCCCUUUAACAGACAAAAGAAUAUUUUCAUACUCCAGACAGUAACAUUUAUCUGAGGCAACCACUGAUGCAAACAUAUUCAAAGAUAAUAAAGCCAUUUGAAUGGAA